rnacentral:rRNA from 1 species
CCUACGGGUGGCAGCAGUCGAGAAUCAUUCACAAUGGGGGAAACCCUGAUGGUGCGACGCCGCGUGGGGGAAUGAAGGUCUUCGGAUUGUAAACCCCUGUCAUGUGGGAGCAAAUUAAAAAGAUAGUACCACAAGAGGAAGAGACGGCUAACUCUGUGCCAGCAGCCGCGGUAAUACAGAGGUCUCAAGCGUUGUUCGGAAGCACUGGGCGUAAAGGGUGCGUAGGCUGUAUCGUAAGUCGUGUGUGAAAGGCGAGGGCUCAACCCGCGGAAGGCACAUGAUACUGCGAGGCUAGAGUAAAGGAGAGGGAAGCGGAAUUCUCGGAGUAGCAGUGAAAUGCGUAGAUAUCGAGAGGAACACUCGUGGCGAAGGCGGGUUCCUGGACAUUAACUGACGCUGAGGCACGAAGGCCAGGGGAGCGAAAGGGAUUAGAUACCCCGGUAGUC